rnacentral:rRNA from 1 species
GAUGAGCGCUGGCGGCGUGCCUAAUACAUGCAAGUCGAGCGAACAGACGAGGGGCUUGCUCCUCUGACGUUAGCGGCGGACGGGUGAGUAACACGUGGAUAACCUACCUAUAAGACUGGGAUAACUUCGGGAAACCGGAGCUAAUACCGGAUAAUAUAUUGAACCGCAUGGUUCAAUAGUGAAAGACGGUUUUGCUGUCACUUAUAGAUGGAUCCGCGCCGCAUUAGCUAGUUGGUAAGGUAACGGCUUACCAAGGCAACGAUGCGUAGCCGACCUGAGAGGGUGAUCGGCCACACUGGAACUGAGACACGGUCCAGACUCCUACGGGAGGCAGCAGUAGGGAAUCUUCCGCAAUGGGCGAAAGCCUGACGGAGCAACGCCGCGUGAGUGAUGAAGGUCUUCGGAUCGUAAAACUCUGUUAUUAGGGAAGAACAAAUGUGUAAGUAACUAUGCACGUCUUGACGGUACCUAAUCAGAAAGCCACGGCUAACUACGUG